rnacentral:rRNA from 1 species
UACGUAGGGGGCUAGCGUUGUCCGGAAUUAUUGGGCGUAAAGAGCUCGUAGGCGGCUUGUCGCGUCGGAUGUGAAAGCCCGGGGCUUAACCCCGGGUCUGCAUUCGAUACGGGCAGGCUAGAGUUCGGUAGGGGAGAUCGGAAUUCCUGGUGUAGCGGUGAAAUGCGCAGAUAUCAGGAGGAACACCGGUGGCGAAGGCGGAUCUCUGGGCCGAUACUGACGCUGAGGAGCGAAAGCGUGGGGAGCGAACAGG